GAUGAACGCUAGCUACAGGCCUAACACAUGCAAGUCGAGGGGCAUCGGGAGGGAAGCUUGCUUCCCUUGCCGGCGACCGGCGCACGGGUGAGUAACGCGUAUCGAACCUGCCCCAUACCCGGGGAUAGCCUUGCGAAAGUAAGAUUAAUACCCGAUGGCUUCCUUUUAUCUCCUGAUAGAGGGAAUAAAGAAUUUCGGUAUGGGAUGGCGAUGCGUCCGAUUAGCUGGUUGGCGGGGUAACGGCCCACCAAGGCGACGAUCGGUAGGGGUUCUGAGAGGAAGGUCCCCCACAUUGGAACUGAGACACGGUCCAAACUCCUACGGGAGGCAGCAGUGAGGAAUAUUGGGUCCAAUGGACGCAAGUCUGAACCAGCCAAGUAGCGUGCAGGAUGACGGCCCUAUGGGUUGUAAACUGCUUUUAUGCGGGGAUAAAGUGAGGGACGUGUCCCUUUUUGUAGGUACCGCAUGAAUAAGGACCGGCUAAA
rnacentral:rRNA from 1 species